UAUGGCGACAAUGGCAAGAGGGGAACACCUGUACCCAUUCCGAACACAGAAGUAAAGCCUCUUAGCGCCGAUGGUACUGAAGUGGUAACGCUUUGGGAGAGUAGGACGUCGCCAAAC
rfam:Peptostreptococcaceae bacterium oral taxon 113 str. W5053 genomic scaffold Scaffold324, whole genome shotgun sequence.